GUGUCACUGCUACACACACUUUAAGAGCUGUAGUGCUGAUCAGAGUGUGUUCAGUCCUUUCAGAGCCACUGACACGCAGCACAAUGAUGAUGGUACUGAGUCUCCUGCUGGGGACACUGGGACUCCUCGCUCACCAGUCUUUUGGGGAAAUCGUCCUGACUCAGUCUCCAGGAUCUCAGUCUUUUUCUCCAGGAGAAUCUGUUACUCUCACCUGUAGAACCAGUGAGAGUGUUAGCAGUGACCUCCACUGGUACCUGCAGAAACCUGGAGAAGCUCCUAAACUCCUGAUCUAUGAUGAUGUUAAUCGUUACACUGGGGUUCCAGAUCGUUUCAGUGGCAGUGGAUCUAACACAGAAUUUUACCUAAAAAUCUCUGGAGUUCAGGCUGAAGAUGCAGGAGAUUAUUACUGUCAGCAGAGUGAGAGCAGGCCGUACACACAGUGUUACAGCGUCGUACAAAAACCUCCCUGAGCUGUAGAGGAAGUGCUCUGACUCAGAAAUACACACUGAUCUGAGAACAGCUGCACAGCUGCUAAAGCUGAUUUU